GAAAUUAUUAAAGUUGUUCUUUGUUUUUAAAUAAGUUUUUAUUAUUUUUUAUUUUUAAAAUCUAUUAUUCUUUAUAUAUAUAGGAUAUUUCUCCUUGCACAGGGGGUCCACCCCCCUCUCACACCCUGUACACAGGACCUGUGCAAAUAGCACAGCCCAUAUAUAUAACGUAAAGUUUUCCUUCGAAAAAAGCUCCGGCUACCCUACUUGUACGGGGCUUGUACAGAGUCGUACACAUAGGGGUGAAUUCCACCUCCCAUGUGACAGCCUUGUUCAGAAAAAGCUCCACUUUCAUGUGGGUGUCCUUGUACAUGGGGUCCACCUCUCACGUGACAGCGUUGUUCAGAGAAAGCUCCACCUUCAUGUGGGUGACUUUGUACAGGUCCUGUGCAAAUUGAGCUGUGUAGGUAGCAUAGCUGUUUUUGUUUUAUAUAUUUUUUAAAUUAGUGAAAAAUGUAAAGAAAGUUACUUAUGGUGAAACGUUAUAUGAAAUUAAGUAGUAAACAUUAUUUGAAAUUGAAUAGUCAUCAUGAAAUAAAAUCAAAUUUGAUGGUCAUAGUGACAAUAAAUAUAAAGUUGGGUGGUCAUAGUAAAAUAAAAUCAAAUUUAGUGAUUAUGACAUUAAAUAUAAAGUAUGAUGGUCAUGAUAAAAUAAAAUUAGAUUAUCAUGAUGAUAAUAAGGUCUCGUUCGGUCCUCAUUAAGUUCUUGUUUGAUCUCCAUUACUUGAAAAUGAAAAUGGGGAGAAUAGUAUUUUUUAAAAAAAUGAGUAGUAAAAAAAAUAAAAAGUUUUUCGAUUUACGUGUAAUAUUAUUUUAUGAAAGAUUGUAUGGUUAAAAAUAAGAGAGAAAAAUAAAAUGUAAUAUAAUUGAAUUUAAUGGGGAUCAAACGAGGGCUAAAUUACAUUCUAUUUUUUUUUUCAAUCAUACAAUUUUCUAUAAAAAUAAUAUUACAUUUAAAUCAAAAAAUUUUCCUUUUCUUUUUUUCAAUCACUCAUUUUUCAAAAAAAAUAUUAUUUCACUCAUUUUUAUUAUCAAGAAAUGGGGGCCAAACAAGGACUAAAUAUAAAGUUGGAUGAUAAUUGUUUGACUUAAACCUAAAUUGAUGGUAGGAUUUAUUUUCAGGUACACAUGCUAUGAACGUAGAGUGAUGCUACAGUUACAUAAUAGGCCCCUGCUAGGAAAGUCAUCCCACAAUGAUUUUUUUUGUGAAUAUAGUUGGCCCUUCCACACAGUGAGGGACAUGUAAAGCCGCCGUCAAAGAAUGUCCUCAUUGAAGUAUACAAUUUUGACACAAUUGGAGUAUGGAGGCCAUUAAAUAAAGGCGGUAGUUAGAUCAUAUUUUAUUGGUCGAGUAGCAACCUGGUAUUCAAUCUUAAAAAAUGAGCAAAUUAAUCUUUAAACUUUUAUUAACUCACUUUUGUUGAUGCAGAGACACAUUGUAAACUAACAAGGUUGACCAAGUUCAUUGACCAUAAAAUUUCUCUUUUACAUUAUCACACAAAUUAUUGGAUACAUAUAUUUAGGGGAAAAUCUUUCUCGAGUUGCAUGUGACUUAGGGCUG
rnacentral:lncRNA from 1 species